GACCUUUCUCACUAUCAGUAAAGGUGAUCAAGCACCCCUAAUCCCAUUGCAGAGUCCAUUCGAUUUGGGUAUGAAAGUCUGCUUAUGCUAGUUUUGCAUCCCUGCUUCCAGAUGGGUAGUAUUUCUGCCACUAGAGGUUAAUGUGAAUGUCUGAUGAUGCCUAAUACUCAUUGCCACCUAGGAAACUUAGAGAUGAAGACCCAACCCAUAUCAAUAGUAGGCACUUGCUGUGUCUUUGGUUUAUGAAUCAAGUGAAUGUACAAGCUAAAAGUGCUUUCUUGAUGAAAAGCUGGGCCCAGGAGGCGAUAAAACAGACAGCUAGCCUAGAAUCCUAGGGCUUCCGGAGUCUCACAUUGACUGGCUUUCCUUGAAGCAGGGUGCCCUGAGUGAAGAUCUCCUAGUGGCCCCCAUCUCCUCAGUGACUGUCUACAGCUCUUGCAGGAACUCCUGCCCCAUGCCUCUGUCAAUGGUUCUCUUUCCAGUGGUUGAGAGCAUUACAGCGCUGUCUGUCCGGCUGCUGUAUCAUGU
rnacentral:lncRNA from 1 species